ensembl:lncRNA
CACAUGUUCAAAAAAGAACGAAACGCUUUGUGUCGUUUGGAGACGCCGCGAAAUUGCGACUGGUGCACAUUAUCUGCAUCCAAAGAUUGAGAGAGUAUUUUUCUGGGUGUUAAUUAAGUUUUGAUGUAAUUUAUGUUCGUUAAUGACAACUAAGUUCCAGAAGGAAAGGGUGGAAUUAUAUGCUCGUGAGUUUUAACACAAGCUAUAGGAGGCUGCAACUCUUCCAACGAUCAUCCGCUGCAUAACUCAAAGCGACGACCAAAACCAGCUCCAGAAAUCAAAGUCUUCAUUCAGCUUUCCAAUCCUCUGACUGAAACUGUUCGAGUGUCUCGGAGAAACUUCAAAGUGGAAGGAAAAGGGAGGGUUUUUUAAUUUCAGAUAAGGCCCCCUGAGCUGAAUGUGAACUGCUGGAACUCUAAAAGUUUACAUCUUAAUCGACGUGACCAGCUGAAUUGUGGAUUGAAGAACUCAUCUCCAGAGCCCUCAUCUCCUGGCCUCCUUUUUGCUCUAUAAUCUGUAUAAUCGAAAC